GAUGAAGAACGUAGCGAAAUGCGAUAAGUAGUGUGAAUUGCAGAAUUCAGUGAAUCAUCGAAUCUUUGAACGCACAUUGCGCCCCUUGGUAUUCCAUGGGGCAUGCCUGUUCGAGCGUCAUCUACACCCUCAAGCUCUGCUUGGUGUUGGGCCUCUGUCCCGCCUCCGCGCGCGGACUCGCCCCAAAUUCAUUGGCAGCGUCCUUUGCCCCCUCUCGCGCAGCACAUUGCGCUUCUCGAGGGCGGCUCCGGGGCGCGCUCCACGGAAAAGAUGACCACCGUCUUUGACCUCGGAUCAGGUAGGGAUACCCGCUGAACUUAAGCAUAUCAAUAAGCGGAGGA
rnacentral:misc_RNA from 1 species